rnacentral:rRNA from 1 species
AUUGAACGCUGGCGGCAUGCCUUACACAUGCAAGUCGAACGGCAGCACGGGUGCUUGCACCUGGUGGCGAGUGGCGAACGGGUGAGUAAUACAUCGGAACAUGUCCUGUAGUGGGGGAUAGCCCGGCGAAAGCCGGAUUAAUACCGCAUACGAUCUACGGAUGAAAGCGGGGGACCUUCGGGCCUCGCGCUAUAGGGUUGGCCGAUGGCUGAUUAGCUAGUUGGUGGGGUAAAGGCCAACCAAGGCGACGAUCAGUAGCUGGUCUGAGAGGACGACCAGCCACACUGGGACUGAGACACGGCCCAGACUCCUACGGGAGGCAGCAGUGGGGAAUUUUGGACAAUGGGCGAAAGCCUGAUCCAGCAAUGCCGCGUGUGUGAAGAAGGCCUUCGGGUUGUAAAGCACUUUUGUCCGGAAAGAAAUCCUUGGCCCUAAUACGGUCGGGGGAUGACGGUACCGGAAGAAUAAGCACCGGCCAACUACGUG